GUGGGGAAUCUUGCGCAAUGGGCGAAAGCCUGACGCAGCCAUGCCGCGUGAAUGAUGAAGGUCUUAGGAUUGUAAAAUUCUUUCACCGGGGACGAUAAUGACGGUACCCGUAGAAGAAGCCCCGGCUAACUUCGUGCCAGCAGCCGCGGUAAUACGAAGGGGGCAAGCGUUGUUCGGAUUUACUGGGCGUAAAGGGCGCGUAGGCGGAUAGACAAGUCAGAGGUGAAAGCCCUGGGCUCAACCCGGGAACUGCCUUUGAAACUGUUUGUCUUGAGUAUGGGAGAGGAUGGCGGAAUACCCAGUGUAGAGGUGAAAUUCGUAGAUAUUGGGUAGAACACCAGUGGCGAAGGCGGCCAUCUGGCCCAUAACUGACGCUGAGGUGCGAAAGCGUGGGGAGCAAACAGGAUUAGAUACCCUAGUAGUCC
rnacentral:rRNA from 1 species